rnacentral:rRNA from 1 species
CCUACGGGAGGCAGCAGUGGGGAAUAUUGGGCAAUGGAGGAAACUCUGACCCAGCGACGCCGCGUGAGGGAUGAAGGCCUUCGGGUUGUAAACCUCUUUCAGUAGGGAAGAAGCGAAAGUGACGGUACCUACAGAAGAAGCACCGGCUAACUAUGUGCCAGCAGCCGCGGUGAUACAUAGGGUGCAAGCGUUGUCCGGAAUUAUUGGGCGUAAAGAGCUCGUAGGUGGUUCGAUACGUCGGAUGUGAAAAUCAGGGGCUCAACCCCUGACCUGCAUCCGAUACGGUCGAGCUAGAGUUUGGUAGGGGAGACUGGAAUUCCUGGUGUAGCGGUGGAAUGCGCAGAUAUCAGGAGGAACACCGAUGGCGAAGGCAGGUCUCUGGGCCAAUACUGACACUGAGGAGCGAAAGCGUGGGGAGCGAACAGGAUUAGAUACCCUGGUAGUCCACGCCGUAAACGGUGGGCGCUAGUUGUGCGAACCUUCCACGGUUUGUGCGACGCAGCUAACGCAUUAAGCGCCCCGCCUGGGGAGUACGAUCGCAAGAUUAAAACUCAAAGGAAUUGACGGCNGAGAGUGCGACGACGACGACGAGGGAGAGG